UCUGCUCUCCGCCUCUCUCGUCGCUCUCCGCCUCUCUCGUCGCUCUGCAACACCGGCGACUGGUCGCCGCUCACGGGUCAGCAGGAGUCCUGGUUCCUAAUCUCGUUCUCACACUCUGUCGCAGAUUGAUCUCUCUCAGAAUCAAUGGCUUCACCUGGGUCAGCUUCCGGGAAUCCCAAUCCCCAAAACCCCAAUAACCCUAACAAUGGUACCGUUCCUCAAGGGAAGUGUUCGGGUUCCACUCAACUCACUCCCGCCACCAGUCCUAAAGGCCGGUAUUUGAGUGGCGAUCACAUUCUAUACGAUAUAGAUGUGAGAUUGCCUGGUGAGGUGCCGAUUAAAGCCAAUCGGACUGGCAUUUCAAAUCAUUCCCCAUUUCCCGGCCUUGUUUUAGGCCGGAGACUCGCGGUGGCCCAGACUCAUAUUUGCUAUCCGUUCGGACCGGCGAUGUCACUCAUCCGGGUCCUGAAUGUGAAAAGUUUUUUGACAUCAACAAUUCAAGGCCUUGAUGAGAGGGUUACAGACCUGGCCUUCUUUGCAGAGGAUGUUCACCUUUUGGCUAGUGCAAGUGUUAAUGGGCGGGUUUAUAUAUGGAAAAUAACUGAGGAUGAGAACGACAAGCACGAGCCAGAAAUAACAAGCCAGAUAGUCAUUGCUAUUCAAAUUGUGGGAGAAGGAGAAUCUUUUCACCCACGAGUCUGUUGGCAUUGCGAAAAACAGGAAAUUCUUAUUGUUGGGAUUGGAAAAAGAGUUCUGAAAAUUGAUACCACACACAUUGGAAAAGGUGAAGUAUUUACAGCGAAAAGACCGCUGAGGUGUCCAGUUGACUGCUUGGUUGAAGGUGUCCAGCUUGUUGGUACUCAUGAUGGAGAAGUGACUGAUUUAUCGAUGUCUCAGUUGAAGACCACCACUCUUCUUGUAUCUGCUUCAGUAGAUGGCAUGAUAAAGAUUUGGGAGGAUCUCAAAUCAACCCCAAUUGCUGUACUGAGGCCACAUGAUGGCCAGCCUGUAAAUUCUGUUACAUUUUUUCGUCCUCCAGACAGCCCUAAGCACAUCGUACUAAUUACUGGGGGCCCACUUAAUCGAGAAGUGAAGAUAUGGUCAUCAGCAAGUGAAGAAGGCUGGUUGGUUCCAAGUGAUGCUGAGCCAUGGCACUGUACACAGACAUUAGAGCUGAAGAGUUCAGCUGAAACUCAAGUUGAAGACGCAUUUUUUAAUCAAGUUGUGGCUUUUCCACGAGCUGGUUUACUCUUAUUAUCAAAUGCCAAAAAGAAUUCUAUAUAUGUAGUGCACCUAGAAUAUGGUCCUAACCCGGCAGCCACAAGGAUGAAUUACAUUGCUGAAUUUACUGUUACUAUGCCAAUACUUAGUUUCACUGGGACAAGGGACCUACUGCCAUGUGAACAUGUAGUUCAGGUGUAUUGUGUUGAAACACAGGCUAUUCACAAGUAUGCUCUGGACUUAUCACAGUGUUUACCUCCUCCAUUGGACAAUGUUGUGCUUCAGAGGUCAGAAUCUAGUACUGAACAAGAAUUGAACACAUAUGUUGAUGCUUUGUGGGUUCGUGCUCUUCAAGACGAAACUGCAAAGCAGGAAAAGUUAUUACGUGAGGACUUGCCAGAGCGGGUAAAAGAUUUAGUGAAGAAGGAACUUAGUGCCUUUGUAGAGGUGAUAACACCCGUUAUAGAGAAAACAGUGUCCAAAGCUAUUUCAGAAGCCUUUCAGAAACAGAAGGGUGUUGGUGAAAACAAUCAAGUCUAAACUUCCAAAUUUUGGCAAGCAAGCUCUUUAGGGCAGCAUGACAAAUUUCCAUGAUCUGCACAGAGGAGGGGAGGGGGAUAAUUUUAAUGCGGGACACUUUGUUAUCAUGCAUAAUAGUGAUAAUACUCUUUGAUUCAUGUUUAGGUCACAUUGCAUGUGAUCUGAUAAUCAUUUAACUGAAAUUGCAGGAAUAACAGCGAUGGAAGAUCAAAGCAAAGUUUAUGGGUGCAUUUGCCGACGUUUCCGGAGAGUCUCAAAGUAGAAAUGGGAGGAGUUUCAAAGUUCGGACAGCAGAUUGUCUUGUUCGCAGGCAAUUGUGAAGAAUUUCUUUGCAAGUGUGGUCUUUUUUAAAGCCUGUUUGGUCUUUUUUAGACUUGGUCAUUUUUAUAACAAGUUUGGUCAUUUUUUAGACUGUCA